CAGAAUUAUUAGGCAAAUGAGUAUUUUGACCACAUCAUCCUCUUUAUGCAUGUUGUCUUACUCCAAGCUGUAUAGGCUCGAAAGCCUACUACCAAUUAAGCAUAUUAGGUGAUGUGCAUCUCUGUAAUGAGAAGGGGUGUGGUCUAAUUACAUCAACACCCUAUAUCAGGUGUGCAUAAUUAUUAGGCAACUUCCUUUCCUUUGGCAAAAUGGGUCAAAAGAAAGACUUGACAGGCUCAGAAAAGUCAAAAAUAGUGAGAUAUCUUGCAGAGGGAUGCAGCACUCUUAAAAUUGCAAAGCUUCUGAAGCGUGAUCAUCGAACAAUCAAGCGUUUCAUUCAAAAUAGUCAACAGGGUCGCAAGAAGCGUGUGGAAAAACCAAGGCGCAAAAUAACUGCCCAUGAACUGAG